UACGUAGGUGGCAAGCGUUGUUCGGAAUUAUUGGGCGUAAAGGGCGCGUAGGCGGCAUGUUAAGUCGGCUGUGAAAGCCUGGGGCUCAACCCCAGAGGGUCGGCCGAUACUGGCAAGCUAGAGUACGGAAGAGGUAGCUGGAAUUCCCGGUGUAGAGGUGGAAAUUCGAUAGAUAUUCGGAAGAACACCAGUGGCGAAGGCGGCUCACUGGUCCGGUACUGACGCUGAGGUGCGAAAGCGUGG
rnacentral:rRNA from 1 species